rnacentral:rRNA from 1 species
GAUGAACGCUGGCGGCGUGCCUAAUACAUGCAAGUCGAGCGAACAGACGAGGAGCUUGCUCCUCUGACGUUAGCGGCGGACGGGUGAGUAACACGUGGAUAACCUACUUAUAAGACUGGGAUAACUUCGGGAAACCGGAGCUAAUACCGGAUAAUAUAUUGAACCGCAUGGUUCAAUAGUGAAAGACGGUUUUGCUGUCACUUAUAGAUGGAUCCGCGCCGCAUUAGCUAGUUGGUAAGGUAACGGCUUACCAAGGCAACGAUGCGUAGCCGAACUGAGAGGGUGAUCGGCCACACUGGAACUGAGACACGGUCCAGACUCCUACGGGAGGCAGCAGUAGGGAAUCUUCCGCAAUGGGCGAAAGCCUGACGCAGCAACGCCGCGUGAGUGAUGAAGGUCUUCGGAUCGUAAAACUCUGUUAUUAGGGAAGAACAAAUGUGUAAGUAACUAUGCACGUCUUGACGGUACCUAAUCAGAAAGCCACGGCUAACUACGUG